rnacentral:lncRNA from 1 species
UGGCUGAGAGCCUGGCCCCAAACAGCUACCAUCUUCAGUGCCAAGGACAGGCUGGACUGGGAAGCCCCAUAACCUGAUGGGGAUUUUCCUAAGAGUCCAGAGAAGCCAGUUGUGAACCCUUGGUUGGAGUGAUGGAAUAUCCAAAUAUCCGAACCUAGUGUCCUGCCCUUGGGUCCUUGUACAAGGGAUAGGCAGUAAUGCAUGGGCUUGGAAACAGGGGUUGGGAGACCCAAGAGAGGAAAUAGGGGCCCGUAAAGCACUCGCAGGGUCCUACCAUCAACUCUAGACAGACAGACAGACAGAAAGGAGAUAUGCACUCUUGGAUUGAUGGGGGCCCAGGAACCCACAGAAACCAGAACGGUGAGGUCAUGUAGGUAUACCCAGUCCGAGAGUCACAGAAGUAACUGUGUGACAGCAGAGUCUGGCUACUGAAGCAGAGGAAAGUACCUGCUUUUCUUCUCACAGACCUGGGAACUUGACAAAUCAGGGCUUCUCGCUGGCUAAGUUCUGGGAACAAACAGACCAGGAGAGUGUGGGAUCCUUCCUCAGCUAUCAAAUGGUUCCCCCCCCCGCCGCCCCCCCCCCCCCGCCUUGAAAAGCUCCAUUAGUGGCCAUCAUCAGUGGGUGGGGAGUGGCAGGCUUCUACGGGGCUUGCUUAAGAGGCCCACGUACUGGACUACAUUUCCCAGCCUCCCUUGCAGUUGGGGUGGUCACUUCCGGCCCAAACCCAUAAAAUCCAUAGGCACCCCUCUAUGUUCUUUCUCCGGCUCUUGUCACCCCAAGGAUAACUUUGGAAACCUUGCCAACCGGUGUCCCAUCCAGGUCCCAUCAUGGACACCAUUGUCGUUCCAACCUGUUCAGCCAUCCUGGAGAUCUCCAAAACCAAGAAAUAAGCUGCUUUUGUGAUCUAGCCAUAACGUGUUUGGAGCAGU